rnacentral:misc_RNA from 1 species
UGUUGUAUUAGAUGAGAAGAAAAAUGGUAAAUGGAAAUUUAAUCUCGUGAAAUCAAACGAUCAACACAUCAACUGUCAACUAGCCAAAAAAAACAUGUCAUCUGUACGCAUGCAACAUUUUGUAACUAGGUUAAAGUCCAAAAACUUUGAGAUCCGUAAACGUGCUGCUCGAGAUUUAAAUCUCUAUGUAAAAACUGAACUACGUGAGGUAUCAGCAGAAGAGCGAGCAGUUUUUAAUGAUGAAUUUAACCAACAUAUAUAUGAAAUGGUAUCAAGUUCUGAUAGCAAUGAAAAAAUUGGUGGAAUACUUGCUAUAUUGUGUUUAAUUGGUGCUGAUGUUGGCAAUAAAAAUAACCGUAUUAGUAGGUUUGCAAACUAUUUACGUAAUUUAUUGCCAUCUGCCGAUUCGGCAGUAAUGGAGCUUGCUGCCAAAACAGUUGGAAAAUUAGCCUUGGACUCUGGUACUUAUGCAGACCAGUAUGUUGAAUUUGAGGUAAAAAGAGCAUUUGAAUGGUUAGGUGGUGUACGAAAUGAACCAAAAAGAUAUGCGGCAGUGCUCAUACUCAGAGAAAUUGCUACUAUGGUUCCAACUCUUUUCUUUCAGCACGCAGCUCAGUUUUUUGAUUUGGUGUUAAAUGUAGCACGUGAUCCAAAACCAAAUAUUAGAGAUGGGGCUGUAGAAGCAUUAAGAGCAGCUCUUGUUGUAACUGCUCAAAGAGAAACUUCUAAACAAACACAGAAGUCUGAAUGGUACAAGCAAUGUUAUGAAGAAGUUAUGAAUGGAAUUGAUGAUUCUAUAAAUAAAGAAAAAGGCAUUGUUCGUGAUGACAAAAUACAUGGAUCAUUAUUAGUGUUAAACGAAUUGUUAAGAGUCAGCAAUGUUAAUUGGGAAAGACGAAAUGACUCAUUGAUGCAAAGAUUGCAGUGGGAUCAAAGUCAGACUAGUGCGGAAAUAUUGAGUUUACUACCUCGAACCAAAUCUGCUUUGAAAGGGCUGGUAGGCGGUUCUGGACGAACAGAUGAUGACUCAGUAAGAAUUGCAUCAUCAGGUAUUCGAUACGAAAGCAGUGCUUGCAAAAAUUUACUUCAAGAAAACUAUGACCGAGUGUGUUCAUCAGCAAUAUCUCAUAGAAUGUGCAGAAAUCUCUUAGUGAAUUCUGCUCUGAUGAAAUUGCUUCCCAGACUAGCUGCAUUCAAUAAAUCAAUUUUUGUUCAAAAUUACUUAAAUUCUUCAAUGCUGUUUCUUCUUGCAACUAUCCGUGGUCGUGAUCGUGAUCAACGGACUUAUGCAUUUGUUUCUGUUGGUCUGGUUGCAAUAGCUAUUGAAGAUCAUAUCAAGCCAUAUUUAUCUAAAAUUUUAGAAUUAAUACGUAGUUUCUUACCAUCUAAGGAUAGUUCAAAAAAAAAACCUGCAAAUCCUGAACCAGCGGUUUAUGUUUGUAUUACAUUAUUGGGAAUUGCAACUCAACACAAUAUUAAGAACGAUCUUAAAGAACUUCUUGAACCUAUGUUAGCAAUGGGUCUCAGUCCUACACUUACAAUAGCUUUUAAAGAAUUGGCAGUAGCCGUACCCGCAUUGAAAAAAGAUAUUUCUGAUGGAUUACUGAAAAUACUGUCUCAAGUGCUUAAUAACCGUAGUUCUUCUAUUGCAUUGCCAUUAUCUGUUACAAGUUCUGCACUCAGUUUGUCAUUAAUGCCAUCAGUUCUUGAGUCUCAAAAUAUUUCAAAUAUUGUUUUGGCCCUCAGAACACUUGGGAGCUUCAACUUUGAAGGACAUUCUUUACUGCAAUUUUUGCGUCGCUGUGCUGAGCAUUAUCUAGAAAGUGAACAACAAGAAGUUCGAAUUGAAUCUGUUCGAACAUGUAGUCGUUUAUUGCGUUUGGCAAUUGAGUCGCCACAAAGUAAAACAUCUCAUACAGUUAGAUAUACAAUUUCUACAGUCAUAAAGCAACUGCUUGUUGUUGGAGUUUCUGAUACUGAUCCUGAUGUGCGUUAUGUAGUGUUUGAGAACCUCGACCGUAGUUUUGAUUUUUAUCUUGCUCAAGUUCAUAAUCUCACUGCAUUAUUUAUGGCUAUGAAUGAUGUGAAUUUUGAAAUAAGAGAAAUGGCCCUCUGUACUAUAGGACGGCUUAGUCUGGUAAAUCCUGCUUAUGUAAUGCCACCGUUGCGCAAAACACUAAUGCAGUGUUUGACUGAACUUGAACACAGUGGAAUGGGUCGUAAUAAAGAGCAAAGUGCCAGAAUGAUUGACCAUAUGGCUGUUCACGCUCCUCGUCUUGUUUCUCCAUAUGUGCAACCAGUUUUAAAAAUAUUAGUUCCUAAACUUCAUGAACCAGAUUUAAAUCCAAGUAUUUUGAUAAGUAUACUCGCAUGUAUUGGAGAUUUGGCUCAGGUGAAUGGAGAAGAAAUGUGUAGUUGGACUGAUGAACUGUUGCCUUUCUUAUUGGACAUGUUAGGUGACGGUGGAUCACAAGAAAAACGUGGAGUUGCUCUUUGGGUACUUGGUAAAUUAGUUGAAGGACUUGGAUACGUCAUCCAACCAUAUGAACAAUACCCUUCAUUAUUAGACACUUUACUCGGAUUUUUAAAAACUGAACAACAACCCAUAGUCAGAAGAGAAACAAUUCGGGUACUCGGGCUUCUUGGAGCUUUAGAUCCUUAUAAACAUAAAAUGAAUCUGGGACAGAUUGAUUCUCAAAUUGAGUCUACUGCAUUACUUUCGAUGACUGAUCCACGCCCUAUAUCAGAAACAGAAUGGACAACUAGUGAAAUGUUAGUAAAUAUGAGUACAUCAACAUUGGAAGAAUAUUAUCCAGCUGUAGCAGUUGCAACACUUAUACGUAUUAUUCGUGAUCCAAAUUUAUUUCAACAUCACACUAUGGUUGUACAAGCUAUAACAUUUAUCUUUCAAUCUUUGGGAAUAAAAUGUGUACCAUACAUACCGCAAGUUAUGCCCAGCUUUUUAAAUGUAAUUCGUACAGCAGAUGCCAACUUUAGAGAAUAUCUAUUCCAGCAGUUGGGUGUACUUAUAAAUAUUGUUGGUCCACACAUUCGAAACUAUUUGGAUGAUAUAUUUUUGUUAAUUAAAGAAUUAUGGAUUCCGAAUAGUUCACUUCAGUGUACUUUAAUUCAGCUAGUUGAAUACAUAGUUGUGGCACUUGGAGCACAAUUCAAAACUUACUUAUCGCAAUUAAUGCCUAACAUACUACGAAUACUUUAUCAUGAUUCUAGUAAAAACCACAAUGUUACCAAGAGAAUGGUUGUAGCUUUAUGUAAAUUUGGUAUUAACUUGGAUGAGUAUUUACACAUGAUUAUGCCACCACUUGUAAAUUUAUUUGAUGCCACUGAUCAUCCUACUCAAGUCAGCCAGGUGGCAAUGGAAACUGUAGCACAGUUAGCGUACACUUUAGAUUUUACCGACUAUGCAUCACGUAUAAUACAUGGAAUUGUGAACUCCAUAGAAAGUACACCAGAACUUAGAAAAACUGCUAUGGAAACAUUAUGUGCAUUGAUAUGUCAAUUGGGUCGCAAAUAUACAAUAUUUAUGCCACUUGUUGCACGCACUUUAAAUAAAUGCCAAUACAAUUAUCCUCCUUAUGACAUGCUCAUUACUUAUAUAUCAUCAAACAAUGAUGGAAGUCUAGAAGAAAAUCUAUUGCUUUCUAGACACAAGCAGUUUAAAAGUAAAAAAGAAGUUGGCGUACAUCUAGUUGGAGAUGCGGCUACUAUAAUAAAAAAGAUGCAUACGUCAUUGCCAAAUUUACAAAAAGCAUGGUUAGCAAAUCGUUGUGUAUCUAAAGAUGAUUGGCUGGAAUGGUUAAGACGACUUGGCAUUGACUUCUUAAAAGAAUCACCUUCACCAGCUCUACGUUCAUGUUGGGCACUUGCCCAAACAUAUUCUCAGUUGCCCAAAGAUCUGUUCAAUGCAGCAUUUGUCAGCUGUUGGACAGAAUUAACAGAACCACUUAGAAAGGAGCUAAUACAGACCUUAGAACAGGCAUUGAUGGUCUCUGACCUCCCUGAAAUGACGCAAACUAUAUUGAACUUGGCUGAAUUUAUGGAUCAUUGUGAAAAAGGACCAUUGCCAAUUGAUCCUCAUAUACUUGGUGAAAGAGCUAUGGACUGCCGAGCUUAUGCAAAAGCUUUGCACUACAAAGAAGACGAGUAUAUCAAAGAGAUAAAUAGUCAAGUAUGCCCAAAUAUUAUUGAAUCACUUAUAUCUAUCAACAAUAAAUUACAACAAAAAGAAGCAGCAUCGGGUUUAUUGGAAGUAGUUAUGAGUAAACAAGAAGAAGACCAAGAACCUGGUGAACAGUUGAAAAUACAAGCUAGGUGGUUUGAAAAACUACAUAACUGGGAACAAGCAUUGUCAUGUUACGAAGGAUUUUUGCAAAAGGAACCAAAUGAUAUAGAGUGGUCAUUAGGAGAAAUGAGGUGUUUGGAAUCUUUGGGUCAAUGGGGAAAGCUAAAUAAUGUGGCUGCUUCUCAUUGGUUACAUUUCCCCGAGAGUGGGCGUGAAAAAAUGUCGAGGGUUGCUGCAGCAGCAGCCUGGGGAUUAAAACAGUGGCAACAAAUGGCAAUUUAUGUGGAUUUUAUACCGAGAGACACUAUGGAUGGAGCCUUUUAUAGAGCGGUCUUAUCUAUUCAUGGAGAACAAUAUGAACACGCUCAAAAAUUCAUUGAUUUAGCUCGGGAAAUUUUGGAUACUGAACUUACAGCUGCUGCAGCAGAAAGUUAUCAGCGAGCUUAUGGUGCUAUGGUUUCUGUACAAAUGUUGUCUGAACUUGAAGAAGUCAUUCAAUAUAAACUGAAACCAGAGAAACGCCAAAUAAUUUAUAAAGUCUGGUGGGAUAGGCUACAGGGAUGUCAAAGAGUUGUUGAAGAUUGGCAGCGUAUAAUUCAAGUACAUUCAUUGGUGUUAAGUCCCGAAGAAGAUAUGCAUACAUGGCUUAAGUAUGCUGCUUUGUGUCGUAAAUCGUCACGUUUGGUAUUGUCUCAUAAGACUCUUACUACAUUACUGGGUACGGAUCCUUCGAAAAAUCCUACUGAACCGUUACCAAUGACUCAUCCUCAUGUCACAUUUGCAUACAUUAAGCAUAUGUGGACCUCUGGAUCCAAAUCGGAAGCCUUCAAUCAUUUGAAUAGUUUGGUUCAAAAUGUGUUGCCACAAUUAAAACGAAAAGGAAAAGAUAAUGAAAAACUUAGGAUUGAUCCUACUAAAAAACUGUUGGCAAGAUGCUACUUAAAGUUAGGAUAUUGGCAAGAGGAGCUUCAGGGUUUGACAGAAUUGUCAAUACCCAAUGUUUUAGAAUACUACUUUGCAGCAACAUUUCAUGAUCCCUGUUGGUAUAAAGCAUGGCAUUCAUGGGCAUACAUGAAUUUUGAAACUGUUCUUUUCUAUAAACAUCAACAAAAUAAAUCACAGGCAAAUGAUCAGAAUGCAGAAAAAGGAGUAGCUGAUAAAACUAGUUCUGAGUUUCCAAAAUCUGAUCAAUAUAUUACACAGUUUACUGUACCUGCAGUUGAAGGAUUUUUUAAAUCUAUCUCAUUAUCUCAAGGUAGUUCUCUACAAGAUACAUUAAGACUCUUAACCCUAUGGUUUGAGUAUGGUCAAUAUCAUGAUGUGUAUGAAGCCAUUGUUGAUGGCUUAAAAUCUAGCCAUAUCAAUACGUGGUUACAAGUGAUACCUCAACUGAUUGCUCGCAUUGACACUCCUCGCACUCUGGUCAGCCGUCUAAUUCAAGUUCAGUUAAUUGAUAUAGGCAAACACCAUCCUCAAGCCUUGGUCUAUCCAUUGACUGUAGCAAAUAAAUCUGCCAGUGUAGCACGAAAGAAUGCUGCAAGAAAAAUCUUAAAAACAAUGUGUGAACAUAAUCCAAAUUUAGUGCAGCAAGCGGUCAUGGUUAGUGAUGAACUACUUAGGGUUGCUAUACUUUGGCAUGAGUUGUGGCACGAGGCCUUGGAAGAAGCCAGUAGGUUGUACUUUGGUGAAAAUAAUGUGAAAGGAAUGUAUGAAGUUUUGGAACCAUUGCAUGCUAUGCUGGAAAAGGGGCCUCAGACUUUGAAAGAAACUUCAUUUAAUCAAACAUAUGGUAGAGAUUUGGUUGAAGCUUUAGAAUGGUGUAAUCGUUAUCUGGUUUCUGGUAAUAAUCGUGACUUGAACCAAGCAUGGGAUUUGUAUUAUCAUGUUUUUCGCCGAAUAUCAAGACAAUUGCCUCAACUUACAAAUCUGGAACUUCAGUAUGUCAGUCCACAAUUACAUCAAAGUCGUAAUAUGGAACUUGCAGUCCCCGGUUCAUACAUACCUGGUCAACCUAUUGUCAGGAUUGCUUACAUUCAGAGCUCGUUGACUGUGAUCAGUUCAAAGCAACGUCCUCGCAAAUUAGUUAUUAAAGGUAGUGAUGGAAACGAAUUUAUGUUCUUGUUGAAAGGUCAUGAAGAUCUUAGACAAGAUGAAAGAGUUAUGCAACUUUUUGGCUUGGUCAACACACUGUUGCUUAAUGACCCUGAUACGUUUAGACGAAAUUUAACUAUUCAGAGGUAUGCUGUUAUACCUUUAUCAACAAACUCUGGACUUAUUGGUUGGGUACCUCAUUGUGACACAUUGCAUACUCUAAUACGCGAUUUCAGAGAAAAGAAGAAGACGUUAUUGAAUAUAGAACACAGAAUCAUGUUAAGAAUGGCUCCAAACUAUGAUCAUUUAACAUUAAUGCAAAAGGUUGAAGUGUUUGAACACGCUUUAACUAAUACCCUGGGAGAUGAUCUAGCAAGAUUACUAUGGCUCAAGUCCCCAUCAUCUGAAGUUUGGUUUGAUCGUAGAACUAAUUACACAAGGUCAUUGGCUGUGAUGUCUAUGGUUGGCUAUAUACUCGGAUUAGGAGACAGACAUCCUUCAAAUUUGAUGUUGGACCGUUUAAGUGGAAAAAUACUACAUAUUGAUUUUGGCGAUUGUUUUGAAGUGGCUAUGACCCGUGAAAAGUUUCCAGAAAAAAUUCCUUUCAGGCUUACUAGAAUGCUUAUUAAUGCUAUGGAAAUCACUGGUAUUGAGGGAACCUAUCGUAGAACAUGUGAAAGUGUUAUGACUGUGCUUCGAAACAACAAAGACAGCUUGAUGGCUGUACUAGAAGCUUUUGUCUAUGACCCAUUGCUAAAUUGGCGUCUAAUGGAAGCUGGCGUUGGAGCACGGAGAACAGCAGCUGCAACUGCUGGCACUACAGUUGUUGGGACAAAUCCUAUAAGUGCAGCCUCUGCUGCUACUACAGUUUCAGAAGAAGUGAGCAUGGCUACUAGUUUUGCAGCGUCUCUUAGCAAAAAAGCCGCUCCUUUGAAUGUUGGUCCAGGAGGUGAUAAUGGUAAUAACUGAAACUGAGCCAACUGAAGCAUUGAACAUGAAAGCUCUAGCAAUUGUCACAAGAGUACGUGAAAAAUUGACUGGUAAAGACUUUAUACAUGAGCAAGAACUGACUGUUCCCAGACAAGUAAAUUUACUCAUACAACAGGCCACUGCUAACGAAAACCUUUGUCAAUGCUACAUUGGUUGGUGUCCGUUUUGGUGAAAUUUCAUACUAUGUCUGUUGUUACAAAAUUACACAAUAUACACUAUACAUUAUUGUUAUUACAUUUUAUACACUAAUUUAAGAUUAAGAACGUUUUAAGAAUGUUUAAUGUAGGUAAUGAAAUGUGUAUAUAUUUUUUGUUUUUAUUUAAAAUUAUUUCCAUUUUUUUUCACUACUGCAUAUAAACCAAUUUGGUGCAUUUAUAAUUUUAAAUUUUAUUUUUAAAUUUUUGUUUUUAUGUUUUUG